rnacentral:misc_RNA from 1 species
GAUGAAGAAUGUAGCGAAAUGCGAUAAGUAAUGUGAAUUGCAGAAUUCAGUGAAUCAUCGAAUCUUUGAACGCACAUUGCGCCCGCCAGUAUUCUGGCGGGCAUGCCUGUUCGAGCGUCAUUACAACCCUCAGGCCCCCGGGCCUGGCGUUGGGGAUCGGCGGAAGCCCCCUGCGGGCACAACGCCGUCCCCCAAAUACAGUGGCGGUCCCGCCGCAGCUUCCAUUGCGUAGUAGCUAACACCUCGCAACUGGAGAGCGGCGCGGCCACGCCGUAAAACACCCAACUUCUGAAUGUUGACCUCGAAUCAGGUAGGAAUACCCGCUGAACUUAAGCAUAUCAAUAAGCGGAGGA